rnacentral:lncRNA from 1 species
UUUUCUCAUUUUUGCAAAAUUAUCCUUUGUCCUACUAGAACGAAUAAACAGGUUUGUGAGCCAACUUUAACAAGACAUCAAUACUGCCAACUAAUUAUUAAUGCAGUCUUCAACAAAAGACAAGUGAUUGUGGAUUGGAUCAACCCUUAGUCGUACUGAGUAAAACAAAUAUUGAAUGAAUCUGCCAUUCCAUUAAAUCAUUCAUGUGAAUAUCAAAAAAUGAAAAAUAACAGAAAUGGCAGUAUGUUUUGGCUAUUAAUGUUACAUGUCUUCCGAUUGGCUAGAAGUGUUUCGUCUAUAAUCUCAUAGACAUAGUUUUAUCAUGCGAUCAUGAUGUCACCAACAUUUUUUCUAAUUUACUCCUUACUAAUAGAAUUUAUAAUUAAAUUAUAAGUAAUGAUGUUAUAUUUUUUCUGUCUCUUCCAAAUAACUUAAAAAUUAGGGUGCACACUUUUAAAUAACACGCUACUCAGUUGUUCAUUAAGUGUGCAUCACAUUUUUUAUGUUAUUUCUCCAUAGACAGAAAAAAUAUUACAGUCAUUCCUUCAAAUGUUUUAAAACAUUUUAUAAUAGCAUCAGUAUCAAUCUAUCAUAGAAUUAUUACAAAAAUACUCAUAUCAUAAUUUGUUAUUAGAUCCUUAGGCCAAAUAAAAAUAUAUGUGUGGUUCCAGUAACCCUACCGUCCCUACUUUUUCGGCUUAAAAAUAGCCUACCCUAAAGAUUUUAUUGUCAUUUUUCAUUAAGCACUGUUAAAGUCAGAAUGUUGCUCCCAUAGACUCAAUGUAAAAAAAAACAUAAAAUAAAAAAAAAUCCCUACCUACCUACCCUAACUUUUUUUCAGAUGUAACUGGAACCACACAUACUUUUUUAUUUGGCCUUAGUUGAGAAUUAAGUUACAAGUUUUACCAAAAUCAUUUUAACAAACCAUUCAAAACAUUAUGUAAUCAAAUUGUGUGAGGUCAAAUACUCCUACUUUCAUUACUUUUUUUAAAUUUAGAUGGUUAUAUAUCAUGUAUAUAGGAAAUUAUCACAAACCCUAAUUGGCAUACACUUUCUAAAGUUCACAGCAUCAUAAACAAGUUUCAAAUUGAUGUGAAUGUAAAACAUGAAACCUCCUUAGCCAGGCAUAUCUGAAGUUCA